rnacentral:rRNA from 1 species
CAAGUCGAACGAGAAAGGGGAGCAAUCCCUGAGUACAGUGGCGUACGGGUGAGUAACACGUGGAUGAUCUAUCUCUUAGUGGGGAAUAACCCUGGGAAACCGGGGAUAAGACCGCAUAAGCUCGAGAGAGGAAAGCAGCAAUGCGCUGAGAGAGGAGUCCGCGGCCGAUUAGCUAGUUGGCAGGGUAAAAGCCUACCAAGGCAGAGAUCGGUAGCCGGCCUGAGAGGGCACACGGCCACACUGGCACUGAAACACGGGCCAGACUCCUACGGGAGGCAGCAGUGGGGAAUCUUGCACAAUGGGGGCAACCCUGAUGCAGCGACGCCGCGUGAGCGAUGAAGCCCUUCGGGGUGUAAAGCUCUUUCGGCAGGGAAGAUAAUGACGGUACCUGCAGAAGCAGCUGCGGCUAACUACGUGCCAGCAGCCGCGGUAAUACGUAGGCAGCGAGCGUUGUUCGGAGUUACUGGGCGUAAAGGGUGUGUAGGCGGUUGUUUAAGUUUGGUGUGAAAUCUCCCGGCUCAACUGGGAGGGUGCGCCGAAUACUGAAUGACUUCGAGUACGGGAGAGGUGAGUGGAAUUCCUGGUGUAGCGGUGAAAUGCGUAGAUAUCAGGAGGAACACCGGUGGUGUAGACGGCUCACUGGACCGUAACUGACGCUGAGACACGAAAGCGUGGGUAGCAAACAGGAUUAGAUACCCUGGUAGUCCACGCCCUAAACGAUGCAUAUUUGGUGUGGGCAGUUCAUUCUGUCCGUGCCGGAGCUAACGCGUUAAAUAUGCCGCCUGGGGAGUACAGUCGCAAAGGCUGAAACUCAAAGGAAUUGACGGGGGCCC